CUAAUUGCCUCCUUACAGGCCAGGGUCCUGUGCUCCUGCCUGGCUGGCCCUGUCCCCCUGCCAUCGGAGAAGACCCCAGGGGCCAGGGAAUGGCAUCGCUUUCCCUUCUGUGGGGCUGGGUGCUCAUGGCUGCCCUGAGCACAGGUGCCAAUGCGAGCUUCGUGGAGCAAAGGCCCAGGUGGGCCCUGGUACGUCGGGGACAGGCUGAAACCCUGAGCUGCUUCCUGAAGGAUGCCCAGUACCCCUUUAUGAGCUGGUACCAACAGGAUCUCCAGGGGCAACUCCAAGUGCUGAUGGCCAAUCUGCGGUUUUCUGGGGACAAGGAGGUCAAAUCCCUUCCUGGAGCAGAUUACCAGGCCACUCGGGUCAAUGACAAGGAGCUGAGGCUGCAGGUGGCCAAUGUGACCCAGGGCAGAACCCUGUACUGCACCUGCAGCAAAGACACAGUGAACACAGCCUGCAUAGCACAGCGAUGGACCACAGGUCUGGACCACCUGCAGACCUUGGCUCUGCCAUCUGCAGUUCCUGUGUUACAGACAGCAACUCUACUCAGCUCAGAGGGCCCCUGCGAGGAUUAA